UCUGAUGUGGUCCGGUGAAGACGAAGAAGAAGUAGGAGGAGAAGAGGAUGUUGGAUUUAUAGUGUGGCGUCGCCCCUCGGGGCAGAACAGUGUUGACAUCAGAAGAAACGACCCUCCUGCUGGAUAACGGUCAGAACAUAAAGUUGAAGUGCCGAGGUCACUGGAGCAGAUGGAGCUCGGCUCAACAUCCAGAUGUUUCUGAGCAGCUGCUUGUUUCUCUCUCUUUGUACGGAAGAAAAACUUCACAAACAAAGUGGCAAGUAUUAAGAAAGAGGAGGACGCGUGGCGGGCUGCGACGUACCGAGCACCCAGGGCAGGAUCAUCCACUCCACGAUGGUGGGCGGCGGCCCCUGCAUGUGCAGGUUGGUGCGGGCGAUGUGCUGCGACGCCAGCAGCAGCAGGAAGAGGAAGGUCAGCUCGAGCGUUGCCGUCGUUUCCUAGCAAUACUUCCUGCAGCCAAUAAACAAAGAGAUUUGCUUAAUCGCUGCCUGGCAACAGAUUUAAUUUGAACAGUUGAGUUGCGGGAGCUUCCUGUUUCCCCCCUCCCUCCCUCGUUCCUCCGCCUCACCAGUGAGAAGAAGGGGAACAGGAGUCCGAUGAUGACGCACGUGACCAGUUUGACGGCCCAGUGUCGCCUCCUCCAGCCCGGGAAGCCGUCGUACCACAGCGUGGCGAGCAGCUGCUGGCAGUUCGGCUGAGCCACGAACUGAGGACAGAGGGAAAAGAAGAAGGGACCAAGAGUCAGGAAGCCGUGGUUUGUUGGUCUUUCUCCUGAAGGUGGAACUGUUUAUUACAAUUUUCACCGUGAGAAAACUGAGAAACUCACGACGAGAAUCUCGACCUCGUGAUUCUACGUCUCCCGGGAAACAUGGUCACGUGAGUUAUGACUUUGGAUAAAGGAAAUAAAAGUGUUUCUGCAAAACAUUAUGACGUUGAACUUUGACCUUUUGGAUAUGAAAUGUGGUCACUUCAUCAUUUCAUGUGUCUGAAAGCUCUGGUGACCUUGACCUUUGACUGCAAAGAUAAAAUCAGGUCACCCACUGAGUCCGUUUGCCACUCGGCGGCCAUCUUGGCUCCUGCAUGGGAUUACAGACACCAGGCUCGGAUGCAUUUGAGUUUGUUUGCUCCUGUAGCUCGAGUUAUCGUCUCAUGACACUUGGGAGAUUUUCAUUUCACAUUUCUCACGGCUGCGUCAUCAAUAAAUACAAUCAACUGAUCUAAA